rnacentral:rRNA from 1 species
GACGAACUGUCCUAACGUUGUUCGGAAUCACUGGGCUUAAAGGGCGCGUAGGCGGUCCGACAAGUCAGGGGUGAAAUCCUGCAGCUUAACUGCAGAAGUGCCUUUGAUACUGUCGGUCUCGAGGGAGAUAGGGGUGUGCGGAACUUCCAGUGGAGCGGUGAAAUGCGUUGAUAUUGGAAGGAACGCCGGAGGCGAAAGCGGCGCACUGGAUCUCUUCUGACGCUGAGGCGCGAAAGCGAGGGGAGCAAACGGG